rnacentral:rRNA from 1 species
UACGUAGGGGGCAAGCGUUGUCCGGAAUCAUUGGGCGUAAAGAGCGCGUAGGCGGCCCAGUAAGUCCGCUCUGAAAGUCAGGGGCUCAACCCCUGAAUGCGGGUGGAUACUGCUGGGCUAGAGUCCGGAAGAGGCGAGUGGAAUUCCGGGUGUAGCGGUGGAAUGCGUAGAUAUCCGGAAGAACACCGGGGGCGAAGGCGGCUCGCUGGGCAUGGUCCGACGCUGAGGCGCGAAAGCGUGGGGAGCGAACAGG